rnacentral:rRNA from 1 species
UACAGAGGUCUCAAGCGCUGUUCGGAUUCAUUGGGCGUAAAGAGCUCGUAGGUGGCUUGUCACGUCGGGUGUGAAAGCUUGGGGCUUAACUCCAGGUCUGCAUUCGAUACGGGCUGGCUAGAGGUAGGUAGGGGAGAACGGAAUUCCUGGUGUAGCGGUGAAAUGCGCAGAUAUCAGGAGGAACACCGGUGGCGAAGGCGGGUCUCUGGGCCGAUACUGACGCUGAGGAGCGAAAGCGUGGGGAGCGAACAGG